rnacentral:rRNA from 1 species
GCAAGUCGAGCGGACCGAAGGGAGCUUGCUCUUUUAGGUUAGCGGCGGACGGGUGAGUAACACGUGGGCAACCUGCCCUGCAGACUGGGAUAACUUCGGGAAACCGGAGCUAAUACCGGAUAACACCGAAAACCGCAUGGUUUUCGGUUGAAAGGCGGCUUUUAGCUGUCACUGCAGGAUGGGCCCGCGGCGCAUUAGCUAGUUGGUGAGGUAACGGCUCACCAAGGCGACGAUGCGUAGCCGACCUGAGAGGGUGACCGGCCACACUGGGACUGAGACACGGCCCAGACUCCUACGGGAGGCAGCAGUAGGGAAUCUUCCGCAAUGGACGAAAGUCUGACGGAGCAACGCCGCGUGAGCGAAGAAGGUCUUCGGAUCGUAAAGCUCUGUUGUCAGGGAAGAACAAGUACCGUUCGAACAGGGCGGUACCUUGACGGUACCUGACGAGGAAGCCACGGCUAACUACGUGCCAGCAGCCGCGGUAAU